UAUGAUCCAAAAAUCUAAUUCAGCAGUGAAAAUAUAAGCUUCCAACCUCUAACCUGGAACAUUCUGUCUCAAAAAGGACAGUGUGUACACUUGAAUGGAAAGACCAGGUCCUGGUGCUUUCCCACAAGAAGUUGCUGAAUGUGGCUACCUGGAAGGACAACCAAAGAGGGCUGCCAGAGAGGAGGCCACUACCAAUUAGUCAAGCAACCUCAUCUGCAUCAUCACAAGCAUCUGUAGUAUGGAGGUCUGGUAAACACGGUGUGGGCCUCUUCCUUCCCUGGAUGCCACCAUCAAGUGAGAUAUAGGUCGUUCACAUCACUGUGUGGACCUAGAAUUCCUCUGCAGGUCCUUUUACAGGAGUGGAGUCCUUCCCUCCAAGAGAGGUUAGCAACUGGUCAGACAUUCAGGCCAUUUUCUUUCUGCUAGCCUGUGCUUCUUUGAGUAGGUCCAAUUCAGUGCUACUAGGUUUAUAGGUGUAAGAACAUGAAGGAUCUGAGGCUGUGCCAGUCCAUGCUGGAGAAGUACCUGACUGGACUGAGGAGUAGAAACCUCGGCCACGGACCAUGAAUGUGCUGUUCUCCUUCCCUGGAUGACAGUCAGAACAAUGGAAUCUUCUCUGUCCUUCAGAAUUUUCUCAUGCCUGUUCCAGUAUCCUGAACUCAGUGAGGAGGUUGGAUCAAGUGUCAAAGGAAUGAAGGUCAAGCUCUGGAUUUUAUCAGAGAGUCUGAGCAAGACCACUGAUGUUCUGGGAAAAACUUGACUUUUCAGUGGGAUCUUCAUCUGCUGUACAUAACCAACAACCUCUGCUGUGAUGAAAACCAGGGAACGCUAACAAAUCUGCAUACUGCUAUAUUCCAGAGGAUGAUAAAAGGUGCUGCAGUUGGCAUGACUGCUGACAAGAGACACUCAGAGGUUCACUUCAAAUUCAAUAUUCAGAUUGUCUUCAUGGUCUUUCCUUAGUCUCCCCUUAGAGACAGAACUGAAAUUCACCCUGGACCACAUCUUUUACAUGCAGGCCCUUUGUAGGGAGGAGAACAAAGACCUGGAGAUGUCAUGCUGUUCACCUGUACAAACAGUGCAGAGGAGCAGGCAACCAACACCAGACCUUCUGGGUGCUAGGACCCUGUCACUAUCCAAGGGCUAUCUAGGAUGACUCUGUACAGGCGGUAUGGCAGAAGUUAAUUCUUUCCAAAAGAGCCUGACUGACAUAGUAAAGAGGGCUCCCACAACCUCCCUCUCGCAGUCUCCAUCAACUCUUGCAUGUCUCCUUGGCAACCACUUCAGAGAGUUUGUGAUUCUCCUGACAGGAGAGCUCCAGCAAAAUCUCGGACUUCAGGCUCAUGAUACUGAAGAGACUGUUCUAGCUGAUGAGGCCGGGCUUAGAAGAUGGACUACAGCCAAGAACCCUGGCCACCAUAACGACAAGUCACACCUUUAGGGAACACUUGAAAAGCACUUAUGCACAGUAGAAAAGUACAAGGAUUAAAGUCUCCUCAGGCAUUCCAGCAUAGAGA
rnacentral:lncRNA from 1 species